AUUGAACGCUGGCGGCAUGCUUUACACAUGCAAGUCGAACGGUAACAGGCCGCAAGGUGCUGACGAGUGGCGAACGGGUGAGUAAUGCAUCGGAACGUGCCCAGUCGUGGGGGAUAGCUGCUCGAAAGACCAGCUAAUACCGCAUACGAUCUAUGGAUGAAAGCGGGGGACCGUAGGGCCUCGCGCGAUUGGAGCGGCCGAUGUCAGAUUAGGUAGUUGAUGGGGUAAAGGCUCACCAAGCCAACGAUCUGUAGCUGGUCUGAGAGGACGACCAGCCACACUGGGACUGAGACACGGCCCAGACUCCUACGGGAGGCAGCAGUGGGGAAUUUUGGACAAUGGGGGCAACCCUGAUCCAGCAAUGCCGCGUGCAGGAAGAAGGCCUUCGGGUUGUAAACUGCUUUUGUACGGAACGAAACGGUCUGGGUUAAUACCCUGGGCUAAUGACGGUACCGUAAGAAUAAGCACCGGCUAACUACGUGCCAGCCGCCGCCGUAACAC
rnacentral:rRNA from 1 species